rnacentral:rRNA from 1 species
UACGUAGGGUGCAAGCAUUAUCCGGAGUGACUGGGCGUAAAGAGUUGCGUAGGUGGUUUGUUAAGUAGAUAGUGAAAUCUGGAGGCUCAACCUCACAGGCUAUUAUCUAAACUGGCAGACUCGAGAAUGGUAGAGGUAACUGGAAUUUCUUGUGUAGGAGUGAAAUCCGUAGAUAUAAGAAGGAACACCAAUGGCGUAGGCAGGUUACUGGACCAUUUCUGACACUGAGGCACGAAAGCGUGGGGAGCGA